rnacentral:tRNA from 1 species
GAAAAAGUACCGCAAGAACUGCUAAUUCAUGCUCCCACACCUAACAACUGUGGCUUUUUCUA